AAGUGGAGCAAUCCAUGAGUAAAGUGGCGACCGGGUGAGUAACACGUGACUACCUGCCCUUGAGUGGGGGAUAACCUCGGGAAACCGAGGCUAAUACCGCAUAAUAUCGCAAGAUCAAAGGAGCAAUCCGCUUUUGGAGGGGGUCGCGGCUGAUUAGCUAGUUGGUAAGGUAACGGCUUACCAGGGCGACGAUCGGUAUCCGGCCUGAGAGGGCGCACGGACACACUGGAACUGAAACACGGUCCAGACUCCUACGGGAGGCAGCAGUGGGGAAUUUUGCGCAAUGGGGGAAACCCUGACGCAGCAACGCCGCGUGGAGGAUGAAGCCCCUUGGG
rnacentral:rRNA from 1 species